rfam:Salmo salar isolate Sally breed double haploid chromosome ssa24, whole genome shotgun sequence.
UGCAUUCACUACUGUAAGUUGCUCUGGAUAAGAGUGUCUGCUAGAUGACUAAAA